UAAACAUUAAAAAAACAAGCCUCGAAAACCAAAAAUCAUACUGAUAUUUCUUUGAAGAAUUAGAAGAUUCAGCGGGAAGAAUAUCGUGUCUAAAAUACGUUGGAAUCAGUAGAAAAAAUCGGAAUCGCGAAAUAAUCAUUUUCUCACUUUUUUAAUUUCCUAUAUAUACUUUGAAAAAUGAAAAACAAAAAAACAAAAAAAUAUCACAACACACACACAGCCGAGGAUUCAAGGGGAGGAGGAGGAGAAAAGUGAUUUUGCAAAUUCUUGACCGAUCGUCGUUCUGUUCGUUGCUACGCGUAGGCCUCGAGGUUCGAAAUUUCCAUGCCCAACUUCUACUCACGAAGGCGGUGGAGAGCCUUCCGCUGAAGCUUAGCUGUUCGAGUUGGAGACCAUGACCGUGGGCGGUCGAAUAAAGGUGGAUGAAGCAGUUGCUUCUCCCUUUUUGGAGGACUAUGUCUGAGUUUCUUUUCCUUCUGAAAACUCUGUUGUUUAAACCUUAUAUUCGCCACUUGUCUAAGUGAGCGUACUUAUUUUGGAAACUUGCUUAUGAUGAUGUAAGACACUAUUAUUAUAUGUCGGGAACGGGUUGUUUAAUUAAGACUAAGUUAUGUAUUAAACUGUGUUUAGUUGUUUUGAAAAGGAAAAAAAAAUUAUCGUGUUUUCUUAGGAUUACGAAGUAGUCCUUAGACUUUGUUAGGUUACUAAUGUGACUCCUCAGUUGAGAAACUGGGGCGUUACAGAUUAGGUGUAUAUGAAUAACUAUUGAUAGCAUGUUGUUUUCAUAGAAUUGAGAUUGUUGGACUUGUGUUGGUCAUGUGUGCUGAGGCCGAGCAUUAU